AUGUGUACUCCCUCCGCCGCCCUUCCGGCCUCUGCGGCUGGCCCCAAACUCCCCCUAGUUCCUCUCUACGGGGUAGAGGCUCAUCCUCAGCUCGACUUCGCUGGCGUCGGAUCCAGAUCCCGCAGCCACCAUUCCCGCCGUACAACCACCUCCUACACCGCAAGGCUCGUCCUCGACCUCACCGUGGUUCCCUCGGGGUUCCUAAUGCCGCGGUACUCGCGGUCUGAUCUGGUUGCGGCCCUCUUCCCACAGCUGGAGGGGAUCACCUCAGAUCCACGCUCCCGAGACGGUGCUUCCCUGCCGAUGUGCCGCACGGCCACCUCAGAUGUGACGGGCUGUCCCCACAAGGUGCACUUCGCCGGUGCCACUGACCUGCUGGACGCCGCUCCUCCGCUCUGUUCUCAGGGUGCCCUCCGGCCUUGCCUCAAGUCGGCGCUGCAGCCUCCAGGUCGGCGGGUUGGCAUGCGGCACAGGACGCUUCUUCAGGCCCUGCGUCUCCUGUUGCUGCAGUUCCUUGCCAGAGCUAGCUCUUCCUCGACCCCUGCACCUCCCGCCACGGAUUCAAGCCGGAGUUCCACUACUGAGGAUUGGCACCUCGUCUGGCCAACCUAUUGGUGGCGAAAGCACCGCCCCAGACACCAGCUUUCAAGCCGCCGUGCCGCUUCUCCUUUUUCCUCUGGGCAGAGGAAUUUCGUCAAGUUCAGAGACAGAACCUUUCAUCGCUGCCUCCUCAAAGGGCACUGCAAGGUGGAUUGCCGAAAUCCAUUCACCUGUUUCAGAUGCCGGCAAAUUGGCCACCGCGCCCGGAACUGCACCUCGUUGCGUGCUGCGGCCGUCACGUCUGCUCCUCCUCCCAGUCCUAAUGCCCCACAUGCGGACAACAGAUGCAGCCAUGGUGACCAUUCUAAACGUUGUCGCGGUGCGGUUCCUUCCAACCGUGAUGCAAGAUCGAUUGGCCGCUGCCAUGGCGGCAGAGACGGACGCGACUACGACGCCAGAGAUGAUCGUCGUUGUUGUAAUGAGUGGCAGCCGUCUAGGCGCGAGUGA
rnacentral:rRNA from 1 species